ACCCAGCUGGCUCAGUUAGAGCUUAUGACUCUUGAUCUCAAAGUCAUGAGUUCAAGUCCCAUGUUGGGCU
rnacentral:tRNA from 1 species